rnacentral:rRNA from 1 species
GAGACCGGCGCACGGGUGCGUAACGCGUAUGCAAUCUACCUUUUACAGAGGGAUAGCCCAGAGAAAUUUGGAUUAAUACCUCAUAGUAUUACGAAAUGGCAUCAUUUUGUAAUUAAAGUCACAACGGUAAAAGAUGAGCAUGCGUCCCAUUAGCUAGUUGGUAAGGUAACGGCUUACCAAGGCUACGAUGGGUAGGGGUCCUGAGAGGGAGAUCCCCCACACUGGUACUGAGACACGGACCAGACUCCUACGGGAGGCAGCAGUGAGGAAUAUUGGACAAUGGGCGCAAGCCUGAUCCAGCCAUGCCGCGUGCAGGAUGACGGUCCUAUGGAUUGUAAACUGCUUUUAUACGAGAAGAAACACUCCGACGUGUCGGAGCUUGACGGUAUCGUAAGAAUAAGGAUCGGCUAACUCCGUGCCAGCAGCCGCGGUAAUACGGAGGAUCCAAGCGUUAUCCGGAAUCAUUGGGUUUAAAGGGUCCGUAGGCGGUUUAAUAAGUCAGUGGUGAAAGCCCAUCGCUCAACGGUGGAACGGCCAUUGAUACUGUUAAACUUGAAUUAUUAGGAAGUAACUAGAAUAUGUAGUGUAGCGGUGAAAUGCUUAGAGAUUACAUGGAAUACCAAUUGCGAAGGCAGGUUACUACUAAUGGAUUGACGCUGAUGGACGAAAGCGUGGGUAGCGAACAGGAUUAGAUACCCUGGUAGUCCACGCCGUAAACGAUGGAUACUAGCUGUUGGAAGCAAUUUCAGUGGCUAAGCGAAAGUGAUAAGUAUCCCACCUGGGGAGUACGUUCGCAAGAAUGAAACUCAAAGGAAUUGACGGGGGCCCGCACAAGCGGUGGAGCAUGUGGUUUAAUUCGAUGAUACGCGAGGAACCUUACC